rnacentral:rRNA from 1 species
AGCUCCAAUAGCGUAUAUUAAAGUUGUUGCAGUUAGAACGCUCGUAGUCGGAUUUCGGGGCGCUUUACCGGUCUGCCGAUGGGUAUGUACUGGUGGAAGUGUUCUUUUUGUCGGAGACCGUGCCUACUCUUAACUGAGCGGGGGCGGGAGACGGCACUUUUACUUUGAAAAAUCAGAGUGUUUCAAGCAGGCAGCUCGCUCUUGCAUGGAUUAGCAUGGGAUAAUGAAAUAGGCUUU